GACGAACGCUGGCGGCGUGCUUAACACAUGCAAGUCGAACGGAAAGGCCCUGCUUUUGUGGGGUGCUCGAGUGGCGAACGGGUGAGUAACACGUGAGUAACCUGCCCUUGACUUUGGGAUAACUUCAGGAAACUGGGGCUAAUACCGGAUCGGAGCUCCUGCUGCAUGGUGGGGGUUGGAAAGUUUCGGCGGUUGGGGAUGGACUCGCGGCUUAUCAGCUUGUUGGUGGGGUAGUGGCUUACCAAGGCUUUGACGGGUCGCCGGCCUGAGAGGGUGACCGGCCACAUUGGGACUGAGAGACGGCCCAGACUCCUACGGGAGGCAGCAGUGGGGAAUAUUGCACAAUGGGCGGAAGCCUGAUGCAGCAACGCCGCGUGCGGGAUGACGUCCUUCGGGUUGUAAACCGCUUUCGCCUGUGACGAAGCGUGAGUGACGGUAAUGGGUAAAGAAGCACCGGCUAACUACGUG
rnacentral:rRNA from 1 species